rnacentral:rRNA from 1 species
GAAUGUACCUGAAGAAUAAGGAUCGGCUAACUCCGUGCCAGCAGCCGCGGUAAUACGGAGGAUCCAAGCGUUAUUCGGAUUUAUUGGGUGUAAAGGGUGCGUAGGCGGUCCUAUAAGUCAGAGGUGAAAGCCGGCAGCUUAACUGUGGCAGUGCAUUUGAUACUGUAGGACUAGAAUCUAUUAGAAGUGGGUGGAAUAACACAAGUAGCGGUGAAAUGC